rnacentral:rRNA from 1 species
CACGUAGGGCGCGAGCGUUGUCCGGAAUUAUUGGGCGUAAAGAGCUCGUAGGCGGUCUGUCGCGUCGGUCGUGAAAACUUGGGGCUUAACCCUGAGCUUGCGGUCGAUACGGGCAUGACUGGAGUUCGGCAGGGGAGACUGGAAUUCCUGGUGUAGCGGUGAAAUGCGCAGAUAUCAGGAGGAACACCGGUGGCGAAGGCGGGUCUCUGGGCCGAUACUGACGCUGAGGAGCGAAGGCGUGGGGAGCAAACAGG